CAAAAAAGUAGAAAAUAGUAUAUUAAGGGAUAAAAGAGAAGGUCAUGAAAGUAAAGUUGAUUUUGUUUAUUGAAGUCAUUUUCUUAGUUUCACGAACACAGAAGCCUGGCUGCUCCUGCUGACUGCUUUCUUCAGAGCCUCUUUGACAUCCUUGUUCCGGAGGCUGUAGAUCAGAGGGUUCAGCAUGGGGAUGACCGUGGUGUAGAAGACAGAGGCCAUUUUAUCGGUGUCCAGGGAGUGGUGAGAGCUGGGUUGCAGGUACAUGAAGAUCAGGGUCCCAUAGAAGAUGGUCACUGCCAGCAUGUGGGAGCCACAGGUGGAGAAGGCUUUGUGUCUUCCCUCAGCCGAGUGCAUCCUCAGGAUGGCAGAAAUGAUGAACACGUAGGAGACGAAGACAAUCAGGACAGAGGAAAUGAAUGUGAUCCCAGCACAGGUCAAGACCCACAGCUGUUUGGAGCGAGUGUCCGAGCAUGUGAGCCUGAGGAGAGGCAUGUCGUCACAGUAGAAGUGAUUGAUGAUGUUCGAGUGGCAGUAGCAGAGGCGGAAGGUCAGGCUAGUGUGGAACAGUGCCAUCAGGAAGCUGUAGCCAUAGGGUAUGGCUACCAGCUGAGUACAGAGGCUCGGCGACAUUCUGACCAUGUAGAGCAGAGGGUCACAAAUAGCCACGUACCUAUCAUAGGCCAUGGAGGCUAGGAGCAGGCACUCUGAAACCAUGAAGGAAAUUACCAAGCAUUUUGGGCGUGAUGACCGAGGUGUAACAGAAAUCAACAAAAGCCAGGUUGCUAAGGAAGAAGUACAUUGGUGUGCUGAGCCUCGAGUCUGUUUUGAUGACCAGGAUCAAACCCAGGUUGCCUACGACUGUGAAAAUAUAGAUGGAGAGGAAGGCUGCAAAGAGGGGCAUCUUCAACUCCUGGCGGUCCAUGAGGCCCACAAGUAUAAACUCUGUCACCUGUGUGCAGUUUUCCUGAGCCAUGUGUCCUCAGGACAUCUGCAUGACCAAGAACAGAAGAGUUAUGUCUAAGGGCUGUAUUUGCAAUUUAAUUCCAAUAAAUGGUGUUUUUAUGCUGUACUUCCU
rnacentral:lncRNA from 1 species